rnacentral:rRNA from 1 species
UAGAGGAAGUAAAAGUCGUAACAAGGUUUCCGUAGGUGAACCUGCGGAAGGAUCAUUACCUAGAGUUGUAGGCUUUGCCUACCAUCUCUUACCCAUGUCUUUUGAGUACCUUCGUUUCCUCGGCGGGUCCGCCCGCCGAUUGGACAAACUUAAACCCUUUGUAAUUGAAAUCAGCGUCUGAAAAAACAUAAUAGUUACAACUUUCAACAACGGAUCUCUUGGUUCUGGCAUCGAUGAAGAACGCAGCGAAAUGCGAUAAGUAGUGUGAAUUGCAGAAUUCAGUGAAUCAUCGAAUCUUUGAACGCACAUUGCGCCCCUUGGUAUUCCAUGGGGCAUGCCUGUUCGAGCGUCAUUUGUACCUUCAAGCUCUGCUUGGUGUUGGGUGUUUGUCUCGCCUCUGCGUGUAGACUCGCCUUAAAACAAUUGGCAGCCGGCGUAUUGAUUUCGGAGCGCAGUACAUCUCGCGCUUUGCACUCAUAACGACGACGUCCAAAAAGUACUUUUUACACUCUGACCUC